ACGCCGUUUCAGCCCUUAUAAAAAGGGGCAAACCCCCAUUUUUAUCAUCUAAAAACUUCUCAAAUUUUCCAGGAAAUUCAGCAACAAAAAGGGGCCUAAAUCUCACAUAAAAGUGAGGAUUGUGAGUGAAAUUUCAAGCUACGAAGUACUAAUCGAAGUCCGGGCAACGCAUAAUCACGAAUAUAAUUUUGUUUGGAGUUAGAGGAGCACGGGAACAAGAAAAUGUUGAAGAAUUUGCUACUUUCAUAAAAACAAGAUUUCGGGCGAAACGGGAAUUGAAUUCGGAAAGGCGUAAAGACCACAUAAGGUACAGACUACAGAUUUGCUGACCCACCUGCCUAGGACACCUAUUCUGCUAUUCUGGAGCGCUCUUUUGUCCAGAGCCUAUACUCUGGUACAGUCUGCUGCUGUUGGAUAUAUGUACGUUAUUCAGGGG